rnacentral:lncRNA from 1 species
UAUCCACCAUGAAAUCAAGUUUUCUUUACUUUCUUUUCCAUGUUUUCUUUUCUUUUCUUUUCCAAACUUCUUGAGCACUAAAUUUACAGCCUUUAACCCCAAUUUCCAGCACAUCUAAACCCUAGGAGGAGAAGAAAGAAAAAGAGAGAAAGGAAGAAAAAGCUUGGUUUUGGUGAUUCAAGCAAGGAACGGUAAGAAUUCUUGUUUUUGGCUUGAGUAGUCUUUGAAAAUGAGUUAGUGACUUAGAGAAAUGUCUUGUGGCAGCAAAGAUUGGCUUGAUUGGAGAAAAAUUGGUAACAUGUAAGCCAAUAAACCCACGGGGUACAUGAAGGACUCAAAGUGGAAAAGGAAAACGGUAAGCUUAACACUAUGUUUUAAAGCCUACGGUUAGUUGAAUAUUGUGAGGAAUUAUGGUUGUUGAAAGGAUCUAUUUGCCUAAGCUAGUUGAAAAUUAUUAAGAUUGUAUGGCAUGUUGUUUGAAAGAAAUGAAAAAGGAAUAUUGUGGAUGGAGGAUUGAGAAACAAAGUAUUGAAAGUUAG